AGUCUGUAGUAGAAUGACUAUACUGACACUAGGGAGAGAAUGGAGCUUGGCCUAGAGGGAAGAGAAUAUGUGGAGAAGGAGCCAGAUAGAGGCUAUGUAGGAAACAGUCCAGGGAAACUGCAGCAAGGUGUGGAACAGUGCAGAUGUUAGCUGCUGGUUGUAGGGUCCCUGGGCUGGAACCCAGAGAAGAAGCCAGGCCUAGGUUCCUCUAGCAGCCACUGGGGAAUUGUUACUAUUGAGGGGAAGUGCACUGGAAGACUACCUGGGACGGUUGGUACAGAGAGACUUUGAUACACAACCUCUACCUACAGUGACCUGACCAGAGGGGCAAGCCCCAAAGAGGGAGCUGUCAAGUCUCGAGGAGAGAGGGAGUGAACACUUACAGGAAGGGGCAUCAGACUGGCAUCCCAGAUGUGGCCAGCAGAAGGCACUCCAGUAGUGAGUAGAGCACCCUGUGGCCCUCUGAUUCAACAUAAGUGCUUAGAUAUUAAGCAUGAAAGGAUACAUCUCCGCUCCAACAUCAGAGAACUCCUUGAUCAGUUCGUCAUGCAUCAGAGCGCUCCUUGAUCAACCCGUUGAUCGACCUUGCAGCCGGAGAUCCCCAUUUUGCAGAAGGGGAAACUGAGGAAUGAAGUGACCCUCGAACAUACACAAAGUCGGGGUAGAGCUGGAAACAGAACACAGAACCUAUGGGUGAAGCCAGGCCACAUUGCAGUCAGUGGAACUUUUACCAGAGACUUCAAUAGCCAGGAUUGCACCCUAAAUCUCCAGACUCCCAUUCCCAUAUGCUGGAAACUAAAGAAAACAAUAAAAGGUGGAGAUUUGGGCCUGAUUA